rnacentral:rRNA from 1 species
CGCCUUGCCAGCCCGCUCAGAACUUAAGGAAUUGACGGGGGCCCGCACAAGCGGUGAGUAUGUGGUUUAAUUCGAUGCAACGCGAAGAACCUUACCUGGUCUUGACAUCCCGGAGACCCUUAGGAAACUAGGGGGUGCUUCCAUCUGGAAGAAUCUGGAGACAGGUGCUGCAUGGCUGUCGUCAGCUCGUGUCGUGAGAUGUUGGGUUAAGUCCCGCAACGAGCGCAACCCUUGCCUUUAGUUGCCAGCAGUUCGGCUGGGCACUCUAAAGGGACUGCCGGUGUUAAACCGGAGGAAGGUGGGGAUGACGUCAAGUCCUCAUGGCCUUUAUGACCAGGGCUACACACGUACUACAAUGGCCGAUACAAAGGGCAGCGACACUGCGAGGUGAAGCCAAUCCCGUAAAAUCGGUCUCAGUCCGGAUUGGAGUCUGCAACUCGACUCCAUGAAGUUGGAAUCGCUAGUAAUCGUGGAUCAGCAUGCCACGGUGAAUACGUUCCCGGGCCUU